AGCGGCGGACGGGUGAGUAAUAUCUGGGNNNNNNNNCGANNGAGGGGGAUAACUAUUGGAAACAAUAGCUAAUACCGCAUGAUAUCGUACUUCGAUCAAAAUGGGGGACCCUUUAAAUCAGGGCCUCAUGCCAUCGGAUGAGCCCAGACGGGAUUAGUUAGUAGGUGGGGUAAUGGCUUACCUAGACGACGAUCUCUAGCUGGUUUGAGAGGAUGAUCAGCCACACUGGAAUUGAGAUACGGUCCAGACUCCUACGGGAGGCAGCAGUGGGGAAUAUUGCACAAUGAGGGAAACCUUGAUGCAGCUAUGCCGCGUGUGUGAAGAAGGCCUUAGGGUUGUAAAGCACUUUUAAUAAGGAGGAAAACAAUAAUAAUAAUACUGUUAUUGCUUGACAUUACUUAUAGAAAAAGCACCGGCUAACUCCGUGCCAGCAGCCGCGGUAAUACGGAGGGUGCGAGCGUUAAUCGGAAUUACUGGGCGUAAAGAGUACGUAGGCGGUUUUUUAAGUCAGAUGUGAAAGCCCUAAGCUUAACUUAGGAAUUGCAUUUGAAACUAGGAAACUAGAGUCUUAUAGAGGGAGGUAGAAUUCCAGGUGUAGCGGUGAAAUGCGUAGAGAUCUGGAGGAAUACCAGUGGCGAAGGCGGCCUCCUGGGUAAAGACUGACGCUGAGGUACGAAAGCGUGGGGAGCAAACAGGAUUAGAUACCCUGGUAGUCCAUGCUGUAAACGAUGUCGAUUUGAAGGUUGUGAUCUUUGAAUUGUAACUUUCGGAGCUAACGCGUUAAAUUGACCGCCUGGGGAGUACGGCCGCAAGGUUAAAACUCAAAUGAAUUGACGGGGGCCCGCACAAGCGGUGGAGCAUGUGGUUUAAUUCGAUGCAACGCGAAGAACCUUACCUACCCUUGACAUCCAAAGAACUGCAUAGAGAUAUGCAGGUGCCUUCGGGAGCUUUGAGACAGGUGCUGCAUGGCUGUCGUCAGCUCGUGUUGUGAAAUGUUGGGUUAAGUCCCGCAACGAGCGCAACCCUUGUCCUUUGUUGCCAUCGAGUUAUGUCGGGAACUCAAAGGAGACUGCCGGUGAUAAGCCGGAGGAAGGUGGGGAUGACGUCAAGUCAUCAUGGCCCUUACGGGUAGGGCUACAAACGUGCUACAAUGGCGUAUACAAAGAGAAGCGAUCUUGCAAAAGUUAGCAAACCUCGUAAAAUUCGUCGUAGUCCGGAUUGGAGUCUGCAACUCGACUCCAUGAAGUCGGAAUCGCUAGUAAUCGUGAAUCAGAA
rnacentral:rRNA from 1 species